rnacentral:rRNA from 1 species
GACGAACGCUGGCGGCGUGCUUAACACAUGCAAGUCGAACGGAAAGGCCCUGCUUUUGUGGGGUGCUCGAGUGGCGAACGGGUGAGUAACACGUGAGUAACCUGCCCUUGACUUUGGGAUAACUUCAGGAAACUGGGGCUAAUACCGGAUAGGAGCUCCUGCUGCAUGGUGGGGGUUGGAAAGUUUCGGCGGUUGGGGAUGGACUCGCGGCUUAUCAGCUUGUUGGUGGGGUAGUGGCUUACCAAGGCUUUGACGGGUAGCCGGCCUGAGAGGGUGACCGGCGACAUUGGGACUGAGAUACGGCCCAGACUCCUACGGGAGGCAGCAGUGGGGAAUAUUGCACAAUGGGCGGAAGCCUGAUGCAGCAACGCCGCGUGCGUGAUGACGGCCUUCGGGUUGUAAACCGCUUUCGCCUGUGACGAAGCGUGAGUGACGGUAAUGGGUAAAGAAGCACCGGCUAACUACGUG